GCAGACUCACUCUGCAUCCGGCUGCAGCCCCAGGCGGGUGCUUUUUCCGUCUGCCACAGAAACAUCCCAGGGUGCUGUGACCACCUCAACCUG